GUUGUAGCUUAGUGGUAGAGCGCUUGCCUUGCACAUGUGAGGCCUGGGUUCGAUCCUCAGCACACA
rnacentral:tRNA from 1 species